rnacentral:lncRNA from 1 species
UACCAUAGUCAGAGAUGUUUAUGGUUAAGAGUAAAGAUCCUUUCUUCUCAAUCCUGUCACUUGGAGUUUUUUAUAUAUUUUGAACGAAAGUUAGCAUGCCUUUUUAUCCUCAUAGGUUCUCUCAGAUCACUCAUUAUCUUUUAUAUAUCUCAUUGAGGUUGUUUUAAUUUGCAAAAAUUCUCAAGCAUACUUACUCUGCAUUUAUUGCCUGAUCAAAAUGGGAUCCGAGGAGGGGAAUGUCAUACUCUUAGAUCAAAGACUUUGGAAAUUAAAAUCUUUGUCAACUCUUGCUGGCAUAUUGCUUAUUAGAGGGACCAUGGGCUAUCAUUUUUUCUCUUUCUCUUUUUUUAAGUGGAUACCGAGGUACCCCUAAUUCUACUGCCGGACACUUGUCCAUUUUUUCUGCGAGGUUGUCGAGCACUUGCUCCUUUUUAUUUUCUCGAAUUAUCUCUAUUUUUGCAUAGCCCAUGCCUCUAAUGCAAUAAUACUUCGGAAGAGUGAAUCUUUCUGAAUAAAUGUCUUGAUCUUAGGGGCAUGAUAAAUCUCUCAACAAGGGUCUAGCUCAUUUUGAACAAACUCAAUACAGAGCAGAUAGCUUUUAUAAUCAUAAUUAAUAUUUUCAGUUUUAUCAGACAUAUAAAACACUGAGGAUGGUAGCUAGAAUUUUGAAUAUUUUGAAAUAAAUUCUCCAAGUAACAAUGAUAUCAAGAAUAAAAAACUCAUACUCUACCAUCACAUAUUCCAUAUUGACUUAAGUAACACAGGGUUUUAAAAUGAUUUUAUAAUAAUUGCAAGUUUUCAGGAAAUAUCAUAGAUUGAGAUUAAUCAUGAUUAGAAAUAUUUUAAUCUUUUUAUUUUAUCAUGUCG